ACGAACGCUGGCGGCAUGCCUAACACAUGCAAGUCGAACGAGACCUUCGGGUCUAGUGGCGCACGGGUGCGUCACGCGUGGGAACCUGCCCUUAGGUUCGGAAUAACUCCCCGAAAGGGGUGCUAAUACCGGAUAAUGUCUUCGGACCAAAGAUUUAUCGCCUUUGGAUGGGCCCGCGUUGGAUUAGCUAGUUGGUAGGGUAAAAGCCUACCAAGGCGACGAUCCAUAGCUGGUCUGAGAGGAUGAUCAGCCACACUGGGACUGAGACACGGCCCAGACUCCUACGGGAGGCAGCAGUGGGGAAUAUUGGACAAUGGGCGAAAGCCUGAUCCGGCAAUGCCGCGUGAGUGAUGAAGGCCUUAGGGUUGUAAAGCUCUUUUACCCGGGAUGAUAAUGACAGUACCGGGAGAAUAAGCUCCGGCUAACUCCGUG
rnacentral:rRNA from 1 species